AAAGAAACUAACAAGGAUUCCCCUAGUAACUGCGAGUGAAGCGGGAAAAGCUCAAAUUUAAAAUCUGGUGGCUUUUCUGCCAUCCGAGUUGUAAUUUAGAGAAGCGUCUAUCCGCGCUGGACCGUGCAUAAGUCUCCUGGAAUGGAGCGUCAUAGAGGGUGAGAAUCCCGUCUUUGGCACGGACCCCCAGGGCUUCUGCGAUGCGCUCUCGAAGAGUCGAGUUGUUUGGGAAUGCAGCUCAAAAUGGGUGGUGAACUCCAUCUAAAGCUAAAUAUUGGCGAGAGACCGAUAGCGAACAAGUACCGUGAGGGAAAGAUGAAAAGCACUUUGGAAAGAGAGUGAAACAGUACGUGAAAUUGUUGAAAGGGAAACGCUUGAAGUCAGUCGCGUCGAUCGAGACUCAGCCUUGCCUCGGCUUGGCGUACUUCUCGGCUUGACGGGUUAGCAUCGAUUUUGACCCUCGGAUAAUGAUGGGGGAAAUGUGACACCUUUAUGGUGUGUUAUAGUCCUCCGUUGUAUGCGCGGGUUGGGAUCGAGGAACUCAGCACGCACCUCUCGGUGUCGGGGCCCUCGGCCCACGUUCACGUGCUUAGGAUGCUGG
rnacentral:rRNA from 1 species